rnacentral:lncRNA from 1 species
AAAAUCACUUUAAAUUUUUUAACAUUUUAAGAAAAACUAUAAAUCAAUAACAUUAAUAUAAAAUUUUAUCCCAAAAACUCAACACUAAAUGCAUAAACAAAAAAACAAACAAACCCUAAACCAUAUAAUACUAAGCAUUAUUCUAAAUAAAACCUUAAAUCCAACAUAAACCAAACGCUAAACCUUUUCUAUUGCCUAAAACCCUAAAUCCUACCUAACCCUAAACCCUACAUAAACCUAGACCUUAACCCUAUCUAACCCUAAACCCUUCAUACUACCUAAACCCUAAACUUAUCUAAUUGUAAACCUACCUAACCCUAAAAGUAAACCCUACCUAACCCUAAACCCUAUUUAACCCUAAACUCCACCUAAUCCUAAACCCUUCCUAACCCUAAAACCUACCUAACCCUAACCCUAAACCCCACCUACCCUAAACCCUACCAAAACCCUACUAACCCUAAACCCCACCUACCUUAAACCCUACCUAACCCUAAACCCUACCUAACCCUAGACCCUACCGAACCCUAAACCCUACCUAAUUCUAAACCCUACCUAACCCUAAACCCAACCUAACCCUAAACCCUACAUACCCUAAACCCUUUCUAACCCUAAACCCUACCUAACUUUAAACCCCUUCUAACCCUAAACAUGACCUAACCCUAAACCUUGCCUAACCCUAAAACCUACCUCACCCUAAACCCUUUCUAACCUUAAAUCCUAUUAACCCUACUAACCCUAAACCCUUUCUAACCCUAAACCAUGCUAACCCUAAACCCUUUCUAACCCUAAACCCUACCAAACCCUAAACCCUACCAAACCCUAAACCCUACCUAACCCUAAACCCUACCUAACUCUAACCCCUUUCUAACCCUAAACCCCUUCUAACCCUAAACCCUUUCUAACCCUAAAUCCUACUUAACCCUAAACCCUACCUAACCCUAAACCCUUUCUAGCCUUAAAUCCUACUAACCCUAAACCCUACUAACCCUAAACUUUUUUUAACCCUAAACCAUGCUAACCCUAAACCCUACCUAAUUCUAAACCCUACCUAACCUUAACCCUACAUAACCCAAAACCCUACUAACCCUAAACCCUACCUUACCCUAAAACCUUUCUAACCCUAAACCCUUUCUAGCCCUAAACCCUACUAACCCUAAACCCUACUAAACCUUAACCCUACUAACCCUAAACCCUACAUAACCCUCAACUGUAGCUAACCCUAAAACCUAUUAGUCCUAAACCCUACCAACCCUAAACCCUACCUAGCCCUAAACCCUACUAACCCUAAACCCUACCUACCCUAAACCCUUUUUAACCCUAAACCCUGCUAACCCUAAACUCUGUCUAAACCUAACCCUAAAACCCUACCUAAACCUAACCAUAAAUCCCGCUAAAACUCUACCAACCCUAAACACUAAAAAAUAAUCUCAAAAUUUAAAGUUAAAAAAACCUAAACUCUACCGCUAUGUAAUUUGUUGUUGUGAUAUUCAAAUAACAAAUUACAUAGCGGAUUUUAAAUCUUACAUCCGUUAUUUUAAUUGCCAAAAUAUUUUGAAAGUUGUAUUUUAUGAAUAAAAAAGUUAAAUUAUAUUUUAAUAACGUUAAAUUUUGUUAAAAUAGAAUGAAAAACUAUUAUCAUAAAUAAAUAAAGAAUUUUGAUGAAAUUUAAAAAUCUUCGAAUCGAUAACAAUUAAUUAGUAAUAUUUCAAAAACCCUUAAACUAUUAUAGCAGCAGAAUCUCAAAAAAAAAAUUAAAGUUCUCAAACAUUUAUUUGCCAAUAACCAUCAUUAAAUCUUUGCUGAUUCACAAAAAAUAAUAUUCUUUACGUAAAUUGGAAACAAGUUUUGUUUUUUGACUAGAGACCCAAGUUUAAAUUAUACCACUAAAAUAUUUUAAUAUUUAAUUAUUCAGAAAUAACAAGUUAAUGUUCUUAAAACAAUAACCAUUCUUAAAUCUUUGCUCAUUCAAAAAAAUAAUAUUCUUUACAUAAAUUGGAAACAAGUUUUGUUUUUUUUGACUAGAGACCCAAGUUUAAAUUAUACCACUAAAAUAUUUUAAUAUUUAAUUGUUCAGAAAUAUAUAUUUAUAUAUUCGAGAGUAUACAAUGCAUAGAUGAUACUAAACUGAUUGCAAGAAUUCUUUUUGUAAAACACAAUAUAAGUAGUAUAGUAUUCAAAGAACUUUUCAAAAAUUUAGAAAAAAUUUUAAGCCCGCAUCGCGGGCAAAACACCUAGUUAUUUAUUAUUUUCAAAGUUUAAUUGUCAUAUGUCAUACAUAAUGGGCAAUGGCCCAGAAAAGAAGCUCCACUAACAUCAUGUUCAUUCGAGCAACUUUUGGGAGAUGGUUUGCUUGUCACCAAAGUAACCCUUGACUUCAAUCAACACACGAUAACCUUCUUCCUUAAUAGCUGUUACGUUAUUCUUUUUCAACAAAAGAGGAUCAGGGAUUGAGCCUUUCUAGCCCUAAACCCUACUAACCCUAAACCCUACUAAACCUUAACCCUACUAACCCUAAACCCUACAUAACCCUCAACUGUAGCUAACCCUAAAACCUAUUAGUCCUAAACCCUACCAACCCUAAACCCUACCUAGCCCUAAACCCUACUAACCCUAAACCCUACCUACCCUAAACCCUUUUUAACCCUAAACCCUGCUAACCCUAAACUCUGUCUAAACCUAACCCUAAAACCCUACCUAAACCUAACCAUAAAUCCCGCUAAAACUCUACCAACCCUAAACACUAAAAAAUAAUCUCAAAAUUUAAAGUUAAAAAAACCUAAACUCUACCGCUAUGUAAUUUGUUGUUGUGAUAUUCAAAUAACAAAUUACAUAGCGGAUUUUAAAUCUUACAUCCGUUAUUUUAAUUGCCAAAAUAUUUUGAAAGUUGUAUUUUAUGAAUAAAAAAGUUAAAUUAUAUUUUAAUAACGUUAAAUUUUGUUAAAAUAGAAUGAAAAACUAUUAUCAUAAAUAAAUAAAGAAUUUUGAUGAAAUUUAAAAAUCUUCGAAUCGAUAACAAUUAAUUAGUAAUAUUUCAAAAACCCUUAAACUAUUAUAGCAGCAGAAUCUCAAAAAAAAAAUUAAAGUUCUCAAACAUUUAUUUGCCAAUAACCAUCAUUAAAUCUUUGCUAAUUCACAAAAAAUAAUAUUCUUUACGUAAAUUGGAAACAAGUUUUGUUUUUUGACUAGAGACCCAAGUUUAAAUUAUACCACUAAAAUAUUUUAAUAUUUAAUUAUUCAGAAAUAACAAGUUAAUGUUCUUAAAACAAUAACCAUUCUUAAAUCUUUGCUCAUUCAAAAAAAUAAUAUUCUUUACAUAAAUUGGAAACAAGUUUUGUUUUUUUUGACUAGAGACCCAAGUUUAAAUUAUACCACUAAAAUAUUUUAAUAUUUAAUUGUUCAGAAAUAUAUAUUUAUAUAUUCGAGAGUAUACAAUGCAUAGAUGAUACUAAACUGAUUGCAAGAAUUCUUUUUGUAAAACACAAUAUAAGUAGUAUAGUAUUCAAAGAACUUUUCAAAAAUUUAGAAAAAAUUUUAAGCCCGCAUCGCGGGCAAAACACCUAGUUAUUUAUUAUUUUCAAAGUUUAAUUGUCAUAUGUCAUACAUAAUGGGCAAUGGCCCAGAAAAGAAGCUCCACUAACAUCAUGUUCAUUCGAGCAACUUUUGGGAGAUGGUUUGCUUGUCACCAAAGUAACCCUUGACUUCAAUCAACACACGAUAACCUUCUUCCUUAAUAGCUGUUACGUUAUUCUUUUUCAACAAAAGAGGAUCAGGGAUUGAGAAAUCCUCGGCGUCAAAAAUAACAUAUGUGGGACGCAAAAUCUCUUCUCUGGGUGGGUUGGGGAAAAGCCUGUCCAUCGUUUCGUCGGCUACAAGAAAAUAGGAGAGCCUAUUUAGGGUUAAAAACCCUGCUAAAACAUGGGGCAAGCAUGGGCCUUUGAUAGCCCACCAAAAGAAGGCCUCCGGAUUCAUAACUAUACAUGGAUUCUUUUUUUUCUUGGUCAAAUACUUUUAUGGAUUCAAAAUUUCAGAUUUAAAAAGUUGUAUGAAGUUAUUCAAAUAGAAUUAUAAUUUUGCAUAAUAAAUUAAUUUCAUUGUAUAUCUAGAUUGUUGAACAAAAAAAAAAAAAAAUCUAGAUAAAAUAAUCGUGGCAAAAGCACGUACUAUAGAGAUUUUUGGUUAGCUAUUUUUUUUGUGUGAUUGGAAAUGUUCUUUAAUCAAGUUGGAAACUUAAAUAAUUUUCUUUGUUGUGAUAGAUGUGAAAAACUCUGCAAAACAUCAAUAGAUUCCAAUGGAUACAGGAUGUGUGGUUAGGACAGGUCUCAGAGAAGCUAAAACUGUUCCUUUGGUCUUGUGUUCGAUAACCUGAGAAGACGCGGAAUUAUGGUAGACAUUUGUUGUCCAAGAUGCUAGGAGGAGGAAACCACCAUCCAUCUCCUUUUCUUAUGCCCUUAUGCGCAGGAAGUCUAGAGCCUAAUACCACUUUCGGCGCCAAUUAACAUAGAAGAGUUUGAGAACAUCACAAAGGCAAUGGUUAGCAUCAGGAAAAUAGUUUGCUUUUCUCCUACAAGUAUCAUCGGCUCGAUCUUUUCAUGGAUAUGUUGGGCUAUCUGAAUGGCGAGAAACCCACUUAUUUUUGAGAAUUGCUCAACAUCACCAACUGAAACAUCAACAAAAGGCCUUGCACCAGCUAGAGAGUGGAAUAUAGGACAAGCAACACACGACAAACAACAAAACAGCAAAGCCACAGUCUUUAAAAGAAUAUAUCUAACUGACGAUCACAGUCUCGAAAUGAUCUGUUUCACAUAUGCAUCUUGGGAAAAAUCGAGUAAAUGAUCUGGUCUUGCAUGGGUUUUCAAAGAUACCCGCACUAAGAUCAACCACAAGGAAUCAAAGAUACAAGACUUCGUCUCUUCUCCUCUGAUGGCAGAAGCCAUCAGAUCGACAUCAUCACUUGGCAUAUCUUCUAUACAAGUACACUCCGACAAUCAAACGCUUAUCAAAGCUAUCACCAACAAGCUGAUGGGUUGACCGAUCGGCGCAAAUUCGCAGAUUCAAAGCAUAAUUCAACAAAAUUUAUAUUAAUAUAUAUUUUUUAAUCAUUAGUUUAUAUAGUUUGCUUUCAUCCGAAACUAGUAGCAGUAAAUUACUUCUCAAAACGCAACUCAUCUUCCAAACUCAUAGAUUUAAAUCAUAGUCGCAUCUAAAUACUUGUAGAGCUAUCAUAUCUCGGUAAAGGGUCUAGCUAUCUGUCGACAUAAAGUCUCUAAACUAUCACUCACAAUAUUGACAUCAUUCAAUUGCGUAGAAAGGAAUACAAAUUAUCCGAUUAAGAAGAUUGAUUAUGGCUUUUGCUUUACUCACACUGCUGCCAUUUAUAUGGACACCUUGUCGUCCUCUGAGAGACAUAAUGGCUAAAUAAUAAUUAUAUUUUUGAAAAUUUAUCAACAAUGAUGACCUACCAAAACAUAAUAAUUCACUACUACUAUACUAUAGGUUCGUUUUUUUUUUUGAAUUACCAGGAAGUUCAACAGAAGCCCUAAUUUCCCUAGUUCCGAAACCGCAUCAUAUAAUACUCUCUCCAUUUCAACAUAGAUGAUUUUUUAGGUCAUUGUUUUUGUUUCACAAUAGAUGAUAUUUUCACAUAUCUAGAUAACUUUAACUUUAUCAAAAACUGUGUAGCUAAUUUUUUUUUUUUUUAAUAAUUAAAUAAAUUAGUUUUAAAUUAAUUUUAAUGAUUUUUGUUUACAUAAUCUAAUUUUCUUAAUAUAUGUGCAAAGAACCAAAACUUCAUUUAUUAUGAAACAGAGGAAAUUAUUAGUUUUGUUCCAGCGGUUAUUCGAUCUAGAGAUUUCUGACACAAUGAUCGUGAUCUUUUACCGUUGAGCUAAUGACCUGUGGUUCGAUUCUGGCAUCCGAAACUAGUAGCAGUAAAUUACUUCUCAAAACGCAACUCAUCUUCCAAACUCAUAGAUUUAAAUCAUAGUCGCAUCUAAAUACUUGUAGAGCUAUCAUAUCUCGGUAAAGGGUCUAGCUAUCUGUCGACAUAAAGUCUCUAAACUAUCACUCACAAUAUUGACAUCAUUCAAUUGCGUAGAAAGGAAUACAAAUUAUCCGAUUAAGAAGAUUGAUUAUGGCUUUUGCUUUACUCACACUGCUGCCAUUUAUAUGGACACCUUGUCGUCCUCUGAGAGACAUAAUGGCUAAAUAAUAAUUAUAUUUUUGAAAAUUUAUCAACAAUGAUGACCUACCAAAACAUAAUAAUUCACUACUAAAUUAUAGGUUCAGUUUUUUUUUUUAAUUACGAGGAGGUUCAACCGAAUCUCUAAUUUUUCUAGUCCCAAAACCAGCAGUCAUUCGAUCUAGGGAUUUCUGACACAAUGAUCGUGAUCAUUUACCGUUGAGUUAAUGACCUCUGGUUUGAUUCCAAUUUCUUCUUUAUGUUUGUUUGGUUCAAUAAAAUGGAAACUCAAUCAGCUAGAGAUGAAAUUAAUUCAAAUGAAGUGUCUAGUAUUGGUUUGUUUGUUUAGUCUUAGGUUUAAUGAAAUUUAUAGUAUGGUUUGAAUUUAAAUUGGUCAAGAGUAAUAUACAAAUAAGUACUAUAGAUUAUAACUGAUAUUGAAUUACACGACAUUAUUAAUACAUAUUUCAGUAUUAGUUUUUAUCAUAAAUAUGACUUAAAUAAAAUGUCACUAUGUCAGUAUAUAUAGUUCGAUUUUUUUCCAGUACAUUUUAGAUUCGGUAUGUUCCAAUUUUCAUAGAACCGAUAACUUUUUCCUUUAAACAAUGAUUUUGAAUGAUCUUGAUUUGAAUAAUUCGGUUAUGUCUAAAUAUGCACUCCUAAUCAUAGAUCCCAUGUUUGGGUGUAUAUAUAAUUAAAUCCAAGCACGUGCUUAUACAUUGUUCCGGAAUUAUAUUGCAUGGAAAGUUAACGAGAUAUGGUAUUCUAUACUAUAUACUCGUGUAUAUGUAAGUAUUGUAACAUCAUUAUUUGAAAAGUAACAGUUCUCAUGUUAUACAAUACUAUAAAAAUCAUAAAACCAAAAAAAUAAACAUUAUAAAAUCGAGCAUAUAGUAAAUUGUGUUAAACAUUGAAUUCAAGUUUGACCAAGUCAAAUGAUAAAGCUGCUUGGAUCCACAUCUCCCAAACCAAACACAUGUCUUCACUCUUUUGUCUUUAGAUUUUUGUGGCUUCACUUCUUUUGUUUCUUUCUCGACUUCAGUUGAAACUCCAUAGCACAUAAAGAAAAGGUUCAGUGUUGAACAAGAAAUGUGAUUGCUCUUGGCUUUAUUCGGAAUUGCGGAAUGUGUGCAACAAUCAACGCCCUCAAAAUAUAUAAAUUAUUCAUAAAAAAAUAUUUCGAAAUUUGAAACAAAACCAAAACGAUAUUUAAAUUAUUCAAUAUAUAAAUAGAUAUACAAAAUAACGAUUGGCCGGUGCCAUUUUGAAUGCGUUCAGCGAUAGUUAUAAUUUUAUUACUUUCAAGUUUCGACGUAACACUCCACUCUACUCUAUUAUUGACAUCUUUCUACUUCCGGCUCUGUUUUGUUGACACGCAAGUACACCAACUAUGUGUUUGAUUCAAGUUGACAUCAAUCGAAUCAUUAGUAGAAUAAGACUAACUUCUAGGCCUCUUUUGUGGAUUAUGGGUUGAUUGGUAAUGGAUGUAGGGUCGACAUAUCGGUUUAUAGGGUCUUUCUUCUAAUUUUUUUUGUUUCAAAGGGUGAAUAUAGGUAUAUCCUCGUUACUGGCUUUGAUCUUGGUUUAGUCUUAUAGGAUGUAUCUAUGAUUUGUUGAUAAGUCUCUCAAGUGUUGUCAAAGUGCUCAUCAAAAUAUAGCACAAAAUCAUUCCCAUAUUAAGGUGAGAUGAUAUAGAUGGACUCUUCACAUAAUAUAUAAAUGGACAAAUUUUUAUCAACAAUGAUGACCUACCAAAACAUAAUAAUUCACUACUAAAUUAUAGGUUCAGUUUUUUUUUUUAAUUACGAGGAGGUUCAACCGAAUCUCUAAUUUUUCUAGUCCCAAAACCAGCAGUCAUUCGAUCUAGGGAUUUCUGACACAAUGAUCGUGAUCAUUUACCGUUGAGUUAAUGACCUCUGGUUUGAUUCCAAUUUCUUCUUUAUGUUUGUUUGGUUCAAUAAAAUGGAAACUCAAUCAGCUAGAGAUGAAAUUAAUUCAAAUGAAGUGUCUAGUAUUGGUUUGUUUGUUUAGUCUUAGGUUUAAUGAAAUUUAUAGUAUGGUUUGAAUUUAAAUUGGUCAAGAGUAAUAUACAAAUAAGUACUAUAGAUUAUAACUGAUAUUGAAUUACACGACAUUAUUAAUACAUAUUUCAGUAUUAGUUUUUAUCAUAAAUAUGACUUAAAUAAAAUGUCACUAUGUCAGUAUAUAUAGUUCGAUUUUUUUCCAGUACAUUUUAGAUUCGGUAUGUUCCAAUUUUCAUAGAACCGAUAACUUUUUCCUUUAAACAAUGAUUUUGAAUGAUCUUGAUUUGAAUAAUUCGGUUAUGUCUAAAUAUGCACUCCUAAUCAUAGAUCCCAUGUUUGGGUGUAUAUAUAAUUAAAUCCAAGCACGUGCUUAUACAUUGUUCCGGAAUUAUAUUGCAUGGAAAGUUAACGAGAUAUGGUAUUCUAUACUAUAUACUCGUGUAUAUGUAAGUAUUGUAACAUCAUUAUUUGAAAAGUAACAGUUCUCAUGUUAUACAAUACUAUAAAAAUCAUAAAACCAAAAAAAUAAACAUUAUAAAAUCGAGCAUAUAGUAAAUUGUGUUAAACAUUGAAUUCAAGUUUGACCAAGUCAAAUGAUAAAGCUGCUUGGAUCCACAUCUCCCAAACCAAACACAUGUCUUCACUCUUUUGUCUUUAGAUUUUUGUGGCUUCACUUCUUUUGUUUCUUUCUCGACUUCAGUUGAAACUCCAUAGCACAUAAAGAAAAGGUUCAGUGUUGAACAAGAAAUGUGAUUGCUCUUGGCUUUAUUCGGAAUUGCGGAAUGUGUGCAACAAUCAACGCCCUCAAAAUAUAUAAAUUAUUCAUAAAAAAAUAUUUCGAAAUUUGAAACAAAACCAAAACGAUAUUUAAAUUAUUCAAUAUAUAAAUAGAUAUACAAAAUAACGAUUGGCCGGUGCCAUUUUGAAUGCGUUCAGCGAUAGUUAUAAUUUUAUUACUUUCAAGUUUCGACGUAACACUCCACUCUACUCUAUUAUUGACAUCUUUCUACUUCCGGCUCUGUUUUGUUGACACGCAAGUACACCAACUAUGUGUUUGAUUCAAGUUGACAUCAAUCGAAUCAUUAGUAGAAUAAGACUAACUUCUAGGCCUCUUUUGUGGAUUAUGGGUUGAUUGGUAAUGGAUGUAGGGUCGACAUAUCGGUUUAUAGGGUCUUUCUUCUAAUUUUUUUUGUUUCAAAGGGUGAAUAUAGGUAUAUCCUCGUUACUGGCUUUGAUCUUGGUUUAGUCUUAUAGGAUGUAUCUAUGAUUUGUUGAUAAGUCUCUCAAGUGUUGUCAAAGUGCUCAUCAAAAUAUAGCACAAAAUCAUUCCCAUAUUAAGGUGAGAUGAUAUAGAUGGACUCUUCACAUAAUAUAUAAAUGGACAAAUUACAAAAGCUGUUACAUUUGUUUCUUUUUAUGGUUAGUAUGAUCUAUUGUUAAUUUGAAUCCAAAGUCUGCUGAACGAUCUCAUUCAUAGAUGGCAACAUCAACUUUUUUAAGUAUCUAAACCUGUACUAUAAUAGGUGUAGGCAAGACUGUAAACGUUCAAAGUCUACUAAGUAUCUAACUAGAAAAAGUGCCAAUUUACGUAGAAAUUAGAGGGCAUGUAAUCUAUAUCACACAUAAGUACAGCAGAUAAUAGAUAAGAUUUACAUUUACAGAGAGGAAAAUAAAAAGGUGUGUUCUAUUUUUCAAAGUCUGUGCAUAUGUUCCCACUGCUUCACGCCUACGCAACCCUUCUCUUCUUUUUUCUUUCUUUCAGAUCUUCUUUACCUCUUUCUUUUUGCUUUUUUCCAUGUUACCAUGUUUCCAUGUCAUGCUUCUUUAUUUUAUUUUUUCAAAAAGAAUACGUAUCUACCCAUUAGAUAUGCAAAACUCCCUAUAAUCGAAGUACAUACAGUGAGGGCUUCAUUGAAAAUUGAAACUACGGUUUCUUUCUUUCUUUUGGAAUUUUAAACAACUACAAAAUCCGAAACUCUGGUCUGGAAGUACAAAAAUCUAAGUACUUAUAAAACUGGGAAGUAAAGGUAAGAAAUUAACAAGUUCAAUUCAUAAUUAUAAAAAUAAACAAAAUAAUUCCGAUGUUUUUAUUACAACCCCAUUAGAAAAACUAUGAAAUUAAGACAACAAACAACAAAAAUCCCCCACCCAACACAUUUUGAAACUUAACAUGUCGACUAAAGUGAAAUCUUUCUAACCCUAAACCCUUUCUAGCCCUAAACCCUACUAACCCUAAACUGUAGCUAACCCUAAACCCUACCAACCCUAAACCCUACCUAAACCUAAACCCUACUAACCCUAAACCCUACUUAACCCUAAACCCUACCUACCCUAAACCCUUUUUAACCCUAAACCCUGCUAACCCUAAACCCUUCCUAAACCUAACCCUAAAACCCUACCUAAACCUAACCAUAAAUCCCGCUAAAACU